AUUGAACGCUGGCGGCAUGCCUCACACAUGCAAGUCGAACGGCAGCAUGGAAGAGCUUGCUCUUCUGAUGGCGAGUGGUGAACGGGUGAGUAAAGCAUCGGAACGUACCGUGUAGUGGGGGAUAACGUGGCGAAAGUUACGCUAAUACCGCAUACGCACUGAGGUGGAAAGCAGGGGUUCGCAAGACCUUGCGCUAUACGAGCGGCCGAUGUCAGAUUAGCUAGUUGGUAGGGUAAAGGCCUACCAAGGCGACGAUCUGUAGCGGGUCUGAGAGGAUGAUCCGCCACACUGGGACUGAGACACGGCCCAGACUCCUACGGGAGGCAGCAGUGGGGAAUUUUGGACAAUGGGCGAAAGCCUGAUCCAGCCAUGCCGCGUGAGUGAAGAAGGCCUUCGGGUUGUAAAGCUCUUUCGGCUGGGAAGAAAUCGCACAGGCUAAUACUCUGUGUGGAUGACGGUACCAGCACAAGAAGCACCGGCUAACUACGUGCCAGCAGCCGCGGUAA
rnacentral:rRNA from 1 species